rnacentral:pre_miRNA from 1 species
GGCCUCCCUCUGUGGGGUGAUCAUCGUGGAGCCCCCCUGAUUGAUCACUCCACAGAGGGUGGCC